ensembl:lncRNA
GCCAGGUGGCGUACUCUAUUCCCAAGAGGACCAGGCAGUGUGGUGUAUUCCAAAGAGAGCCAGUCGGUCUGGUGUACUCCAAACAGAGCCAAGCGGCAUAGUAUAGUCCAAGGAGAGCCAGCCUGCGUGGUAUACUCCAAGGAGAGCCAUCCUGUGUGGUGUAUUCCAAAGAGAGCCACGCUGCAUGGUAUGUUGCAAAGAGAGCCAGCCUGCACGGUAUGCUGCAAAGAGAGCCAGGUGGCGUGAUAUAUUCCAAAAAGAGCCAGGCGGUGUGGUGUAUUCCAAAAGGAGGCAAGCGCCGUGGUAUUUCCCAUGAACAAGGCAGGUGGUGCUGUAUGUUCCAUGAGCGAAGCAGGCGGCAUAGCCUAUUCCAUAGGAGAGGCAGGUGGCGUAGCCUAUUCCAUAGCAGAGCCAGGUAGCGUAGUCUAUUCCACAGCAGAGGCAAGCAGCGUAGUAUAUUCCAUAGAAGGGGCAGGUGGAAUAGUAUGUUCCAUAACAGAGGCAGGUCGCAUAGUAUAUUCCAGAAGGAGGCAGGCGGCACAGUAUAUUUCAAGACGAGGAAGGCAGCGCUGUAUAAUCCAAGAAGAGGCAGGCGGCGCAGUAUAGUCCAAAAAGAGGCAGAUGGCAUCAUGUAUUCCAAGAAGGUACGGGUGGUGUAGUAUAUUCCAAAAAGAGGCAUGUGCCGUAAUACAUUCCAAAGAAGAUACAGGCGGUAUAGUAUAUUCCAAAUACAA